UACGUAGGGUGCGAGCGUUAAUCGGAAUUACUGGGCGUAAAGCGUGCGCAGGCGGUUUUGUAAGCCAGAUGUGAAAUCCCCGGGCUUAACCUGGGAAUGGCAUUUGGGACUGCAAGGCUGGAGUAUGGCAGAGGGGACUAGAAUUCCUGGUGUAGCAGUGAAAUGCGUAGAUAUCAGGAGGAAUACCGAUGGCGAAGGCAGGUCCCUGGGCCAAUACUGACGCUCAUGCACGAAGCGUGGGGAGCAAACAGG
rnacentral:rRNA from 1 species